UACGUAGGUGGCAAGCGUUGUCCGGAAUUAUUGGGCGUAAAGCGCGCGCAGGCGGUCCUUUAAGUCUGAUGUGAAAGCCCACGGCUCAACCGUGGAGGGUCAUUGGAAACUGGAGGACUUGAGUACAGAAGAGGAAAGCGGAAUUCCACGUGUAGCGGUGAAAUGCGUAGAGAUGUGGAGGAACACCAGUGGCGAAGGCGGCUGUCUGGUCUGUAACUGACGCUGAGGCGCGAAAGCGUGGGGAGCGAACAGG
rnacentral:rRNA from 1 species